CACCGCUCGGUUUGUAUCGCCUAUUUUGCAGAUAUUUUCUCCCAGUCAAAAUCCCUUCUGAGUCGGAGAAGCAUGGCCCUACAACAAUGGGAUGCCUGGAAAGAAUCAAUCAUAGAGUCCACGGGUCUAUCUCCUGCAACUAUUUUCACUAUUGUUGCUUUAGCUGUUGCUUUCUACUAUGCUAUCUCGGGGUUUUCCCCCUCAUCUGAUCAUGCUCACCACCAGAGGUCUAGAGACUUCGAGGAACAGACACAGGUUUUGCCUCCUGUUCAACUUGGAGAAGUUACUGAAGAUGAGUUGAAGGAAUAUGAUGGGUCUGAUCCCAAAAAGCCUCUGUUGAUGGCUAUUAAGGG
rnacentral:misc_RNA from 1 species